rnacentral:rRNA from 1 species
GAUGAACGCUGGCGGCGUGCUUAACACAUGCAAGUCGAACGGAAAGGCUCCUGCUUGCAGGGGUACUCGAGUGGCGAACGGGAGAGUAACACGUGGGUGAUCUGCCCUGCACUUCGGGAUAAGCCUGGGAAACUGGGUCUAAUACCGGAUAGGACGAUGGUUUGGAUGCCAUUGUGGGAAGUUUUUCGGUGUGGGAUGAGCUCGCGGCCUAUCAGCUUGUUGGUGGGGUAAUGGCCUACCAAGGCGUCGACGGGUAGCCGGCCUGAGAGGGUGUACGGCCAGAUUGGGACUGAGAUACGGCCCAGACUCCGACGGGAGGCAGCAGUGGGGAAUAUUGCACAAUGGGCGCAAGCCUGAUGCAGCGACGCCGCGUGGGGGAUGACGGCCUUCGGGUUGUAAACUCCUUUCGCUAGGGACGAAGCGCAAGUGACGGUACCUGGAGAAGAAGCACCGGCUAACUACGUG